GGUCUAGGCUCAGGGGUCUCCGACGGCUCCCCUUCCCCUCCCCGAGAGCCCCCCUCACCCCACCUCCGCACGAGCCCGGGACUCGCCGCCCGCGCAGCCCCGUGUAGCUCCUUGUGUGUCUUUUGAUUUUUUUUCAGAGAUCCCUCUGUACUUUGUGGACUUGCAGGAUGACUUAGAGGACUGUCAGAAAACCCAGCCAGGAAGCGCUACUGGCCCUUCUGGAGCAAGGUCUCAUUUCCCAGUGUGACAUUGAAGGCUAAGUAUGUCCUGCUCUGCUGGAGCGGUCUGCUCCCAGCCGUGAUGAUGAAUGCAGGAAGGAGGCCAUGAGCGUAAGUCUUCCUUGGGAGUGGCUUGCACAGCUGGUGGCUAAUUCAGGACUUGAAUUCUCACAGGAGUUGAACUUCAGGCAUGCACCAUUCUCUGAGUUAGAUGGUCAGAGUUUAUUCAGGAAAGUUUCAUGGGUAACCUUGAUCCUGUCUUUAGACAUGCUCAUUCUUGGAGUACCAGGGCUGGAGGAGUCUCAGCCAAGUGAGUGCCAGUCACCAGCCACUUACACUGUUGACACUGCUGCUGGGCGGGAUG
rnacentral:lncRNA from 1 species